GACAUUAUUGACAUUUAGAAAUGCAGUAAUUUGCAUUUCCAUAACUUUUUCAAGAAUCUUACUCAAUGCGGGUAAAAUUGAGAUCGAUCGAAGAUGGGUAGGCUCGGUUGGAUUGUUAACCUUAGGAAGAGGAAUGACGUUAGCACAUUUCCAGGAUUUAGGAAAAUAAGACUGAUCUAUACAUGCAUUUAUAAUAUGCGUAAUAAAAGAUACAAUAUACGGGCAACAUAUAAGUAUAAGUGUUAUAUUUAAUUCAUCACAUCCAAAUGCUCUAGAUUUCAUAUUUUUAAUUAUAUGCAUUAUCAAAGUAUCAGUUAUAGUGUCAAAACUAAACGAAUUAUCAACUAUUUUAUUAUGUUUAUAAAAAUUUAUCAGUUCAACAUCAGGCGCAACAGUAUUGCAUGAUUCAAUGAAAUAUUUAUUCAACAUCGCAUAAAUUUUCAGGUAUAUUUAUAUCUUUUCUUUUGCAUAUAUUUAAUUUUUUCAAUUCAUCCCAUUUGUCUUUAGAAUUAGAGUUUUGAAAUUUGUAAGUAAGGUACGCUCUUUUUUCGGCCCUGAUGGCACAAGUCGUUAAAUUUCUAUACUGUUUAUAUGUCGUUUUGAUUUUCAUGGACAUGAAAAAACAUGUAAUUUUGAAACUUAUUUGCAAUUUGCUAGCUUAGCGUCACUUCUUUCAAGUUACUUUUUUUUAAUAUUUUUUCAGAUUUUUCUGGUUCUAUUAUCUAAUUCUACUGGAGUAUUUGUGAUAACUACCUGCCAAUAUUCCAAAAUUGAGAUGACUUUAAUAGGGGAUCUACUGUGCAACUACAAGUUUUGGGUACCUAUUAUUAUCUUUAUCUGUAUUGCAAUUGCGGUCUACUAUAAGGUAUUUAAAAUACUAGCUGGCUCCCAUGUAAAACCGAUGAACGACAGUGAAUCUUCUCGUGUGAUAUACGACGACGAAGAUAGUCGGUAGGUUAGACUAAGUUAAGGACUUUGACUGCACAAGCAGAAAAGUUGUAAUAAUAAACAUAAACAUAUAGCACAGUUUUCUUGAAUUUUGGUGUGCUGGAUGAAGUGGUACCUACAAAGACGAUAUGGAAUUUUCCAUCGGUAAAAAUAUUUUUACUAAAUUAAAUUCCGGAACUUCCAAUCAACUGUACAACUAUCCUAUUCCAUGGUGGAUAAUGGAUUAUUUGAAAAAUUGUAUGUCUUAUGAAUAGAUCUACUAUGGAUCAAUGGGCACAAAGUCUGAAAGUUCUUGAGACUUUUGAUCCAAGCGAUCAGAACUAUAACAGCAUAGUUUCAAAAAAAAAGCCGAAAGUCGCUUUUCAUAAAAAUGAUAAAACAC